ensembl:lncRNA
AAACAGAGGAUGCACGGAUCUCUGGCCAGUGGCCACAAGGAGGUCCUGUCUAGAGCUGCAAGAAGAACCGCGUCCAUGGCUGGAUAGCGUCCGGUCCGGUCCAAAAAUAAGGCUACCGACUUGUCGCGGGAAUUCACUAUACAAUUGCCAGUAGCCACUGAGUUUACCACUGAUAGGCCGGCGGUGCAUCAAUAUACACACUCACCUCACGCAGCGAACGACUCAUUUUCUGUUUGACCCAUGGCCUGGAGAUGUACAGUGUUGCCAACUUAGCACCUUUGCAGACCCCUUUAGCAAGUUUUUUCUUCUUCAAAAAAGCACCUAGCGACAAAUCUUUAGGGUUUGCCCAAACCUUAGGCCUAUUUAGUUUCUGAGACUUGCCGUUAUUGCUGCGCGAGGUCUUUGCUUUCUCUCUCUGUGCGUCUGCUGUGUUCAGACGCACAGAGACGCAUAUGAUGUUGCUUCUCUAAUUUUACAUGCAAGUGUAGCCGAAAUCACAGCACAGUUGUUGUUUUUAUCUUACUGUAUGUGUAUUUGAUUUCAUCAGACGACGGCUCGAUUAUCAGGAUUUUUGUGCAGAUUAAUGUUUUGGAAGGGAGAGCUGGUCACUAUUUCAUAUUCAUUGUCUGACAACAGAAACAGUAAAAUAUAUAAAUGAAAACAGUUUUUUUUUUUUUAGAAUUUAGCUGCAUCCAAAUACAGUAUGUGGGCAGAGAGAGGCAAAAAAAACUGGCCAUUUUCAGAAGAGCACCUGACAUUUUUUUCAGCUGGCUAAAAACACUUUGGUGGGCACGUUAUUGAAUAUUUAGUGUUAGGCAUAUGGUCUAUUAGUCUUUUUUGUUAAAAGGAUUUCUGAAGGAUUGUGUGACUGGAGUAAUGAUGCAAAAAAUUCAGUUUGAAAGUCAGCUUUGAUUUUUCCUAAUAAACUGUUUAACUGCACUCACAAGUGAAUAUUAAAUUAUGUUGUUGGAUAAUUAAAUAUAUUCUAAAUAAACUACAAACAUAAAAUUAAAUAGAUUUAUUUUGUCCUCACAUUCUUUCUUGUAACUCAUCCCUCUCAGUGACACAGCUGACUGAAUGGCUCAUUAUGCAGCUCAUUAUGCAGGUCUUUGUCUUCUCAGGUGUGAAUUCAUGAUAGUUGACGCCUACUCGCAUAUGACUUUUACCAACAAAAAGUGUCUUAGAAAAUUUAAAUCAAUAUAUUGUUUUCUGUAAGUGAGUAAACAAGAUGAUUUUCACAUCAUUUAGAAAAAAAAAAUUCUAGGCUACAAGCUCCAGUUCUCAAAAUAUCUGGGAACCAAUUUUCUGAAUGUGUUUUAUUGCCUUUUUCAAGUGAUUUAACAUUUUUAGUUUUUCACUAACCACGCAUAACAUUUUUUUUCUCAAAAACACAAUCAUGUACAUACAUGCUGCUCACAUAUUAUUAUAGCCUAGUUUGUGCUGAUUACAGUGAGAUUAGACUUUAGCCAUUUAGAUAUUUAUAAGAAACUGAA